GAUGAACGCUGGCGGCGUGCCUAAUACAUGCAAGUCGAGCGAACAGACGAGGAGCUUGCUCCUCUGACGUUAGCGGCGGACGGGUGAGUAACACGUGGAUAACCUACCUAUAAGACUGGGAUAACUUCGGGAAACCGGAGCUAAUACCGGAUAAUAUAUUGAACCGCAUGGUUCAAUAGUGAAAGACGGUUUUGCUGUCACUUAUAGAUGGAUCCGCGCCGCAUUAGCUAGUUGGUAAGGUAACGGCUUACCAAGGCAACGAUGCGUAGCCGACCUGAGAGAGUGGUCGGCCACACUGGAGCUGAGACACGGUCCAGACUCCUACGGGAGGCAGCAGUAGGGAAUCUUCCGCAGUGGGCGAAAGCCUGACGGAGCAACGCCGCGUGAGUGAUGAAGGUCUUCGGAUCGUAAAACUCUGUUAUUAGGGAAGAACAAAUGUGUAAGUAACUAUGCACGUCUUGACGGUACCUAAUCAGAAAGCCACGGCUAACUACGUG
rnacentral:rRNA from 1 species